rnacentral:rRNA from 1 species
AGUGAACGCUGGCGGUAGGCCUAACACAUGCAAGUCGAACGGCAGCACAGUAAUAAGUGGCUCUUACGUGUGUCGAGUGUCGGACGGGUGAUGUAGACAUCGGAAUCUACUUUGUCGUGGGGGAUAACGUAGGGAAACUUACGCGAAGACCGCAUACGACCUACGGGUGAAAGCAGGGGAUCUUCUGACCUGGCGCGAUUGAAUGAGCCGAUGUCGGAUUAGCUAGUGGGCGCGGUAAAGGCGCACCAAGGCGACGAUCCGUAGCUGGUCUGAGAGGAUGAACCGCCACACUGUCACUGAGACUCGGUCCAGACUCUUACGCGAGGAAGCAGUGGGGAAUAUUGGACAAUGCGCGAAAGCCUGAUCCAGCCCUAUCGCGUGGGUGAAGACGCACUUAUGGUUGUAGAGUCAUUUUGUUGUGAAAGAAAAGCAGCACUUUAAUACCCCGCUGUUCUGACGGUACCCAAAGAAUAAGCCCCGGCUAACUUCGUG